rnacentral:tRNA from 1 species
GGGUAUAUAGCUCAAGUGAUAGAGUGCACGCUUAGCAUGCCUGAGGUCCUGGGUUCAAUCCCCAGUACCUCCU